rnacentral:rRNA from 2 species
GUGCGAGACCGAUAGCGAACAAGUACCGUGAGGGAAAGAUGAAAAGAACUUUGAAAAGAGAGUUAAAGAGUACCUGAAACUGCUGAAAGGGAAGCGAAUCGUAUCCAGUGUCUAUAAUCUGCGGCAUAUUUCAUUGGCGGCAGUGUGCGUGUGCUUUUGCGUCGGAAGCGGCUUUUGUUGCUCUGUGCUUUUGCUGUGCGUGCUAUUGCUGGUGCCCUGUGUUGCGGUGGGACGUCAGAGUCAGUUCGUAUGCUGCGGGAAAUGGCCGCCGAGGAGGUAGGUCAGGACUUCGGUCUUGGCUGUUAUAUCUUGGUGGUUUGUUGUCGUGGUUGGGACUGAGGUGCCUACAACGUGCUUUUGAGUGUGCCGGGUUCUCAUUUGGUGGACUGUUUGGAUAGCUUGCUAUGCUUGUGGUUUUUUCAUCGAGUGAUUGAGUCUGGUGGUAACUUGUUGCUGUUCGGGACUUUGA